rnacentral:pre_miRNA from 1 species
GCGCGCGCAUGCGCUGUCGCGCUUCGAGAACAUCGGCAGCUGACGCGCGCGCAUGCGCCGUUGCGCUUCCCCCCCUUCUCGAACAUUCAGACAGCUGACGCGCGCAUGCA